rnacentral:rRNA from 1 species
AGCGAACGCUGGCGGCAGGCUUAACACAUGCAAGUCGAGCGGGCGUAGCAAUACGUCAGCGGCAGACGGGUGAGUAACGCGUGGGAACAUACCUUUUGGUUCGGAACAACACAGGGAAACUUGUGCUAAUACCGGAUAAGCCCUUACGGGGAAAGAUUUAUCGCCGAAAGAUUGGCCCGCGUCUGAUUAGCUAGUUGGUGAGGUAAUGGCUCACCAAGGCGACGAUCAGUAGCUGGUCUGAGAGGAUGAUCAGCCACAUUGGGACUGAGACACGGCCCAAACUCCUACGGGAGGCAGCAGUGGGGAAUAUUGGACAAUGGGCGCAAGCCUGAUCCAGCCAUGCCGCGUGAGUGAUGAAGGCCCUAGGGUUGUAAAGCUCUUUUGUGCGGGAAGAUAAUGACGGUACCGCAAGAAUAAGCCCCGGCUAACUUCGUGCCAGCAGCCGCUGUAAU